CAAUGUUCUCAGUGAGCUCAUCUCUCACUUCCAGUCCGGAGGAUAUUGUAUUUGGGCAAGCCGUUUGUUUGUUGUUAGCGUGCAUUUUCAUUGGUCGUACGGAACGGUACCGGAUUAUGAAAGGUGAAUCCAGUUUACUUCCGCUGGUUGUUGAGUGGUGUGCAAUCGACCGUGAAAGUGACACAAGACACUGGAUACUGGUCCAUUUCGAAAGUUUCUGGGAAGGACUUACGCUGUCGAAAAUACGUCCAGCGCUCACCUACUUUUCAUAUGAUUAGGAAUGCAUCACUUCGGCCCCAUCGGCCUUGUCGUUCUCCAUUGCCGGACCGAUGUUUUACCAUGCCAUCACUAGGCCAUCACUCUGUAAGUAGCAAAAAAAACAAAGCGCAUCAACACUAUAGGGAAUGGUCAAAUAUUUGGAAUGGUGUUAUCAAAUCGAUUCGACCAUUUCACCACAAACGUAGGUAGUGGGCGAUAUCACCGAAGAUCCGAAUAAAAAACGCAUCAGUUGCUGAAGAUCAUUAAAGACGCAUCAGUUGCAACUUAAAGUGUUGUCUCCGUGGUAGCUUACGACACCGAAGUUCAGCCACCCGCAUCAUUAGCCAAUUCCUAGUAUUUAUAAAGUAUGUGAAGAGGAGGAGGUCCGGACAGAUGACUCGGAAAAGGACUUCCGGUUUCAGAAAAAAAAACGUUUAAGCAGAUCAACAGGUCCGAUACGAUGAACGGAUGCAACAAAAUAGGAAGGAAAUGAAAUUGAAGAAGAAAAAAUUAGCGUUACUUAGUAAUCUUUCGAAACUACAGAAAAGCUAAAGCUUCGUCGUCGAACAAUGUGUCCAUUAAGAAUAACGUCUCGGACGUUAAAAUCAUCAACCAGGAAAU